rnacentral:rRNA from 1 species
AUUGAACGCUGGCGGCAUGCUUUACACAUGCAAGUCGAACGGCAGCGCGGGCUUCGGCCUGGCGGCGAGUGGCGAACGGGUGAGUAAUACAUCGGAACGUGCCCAGUAGUGGGGGAUAGCUCGGCGAAAGCCGGACUAAUACCGCAUACGACCUGAGGGUGAAAGCGGGGGAUCUUCGGACCUCGCGCCAUUGGAGCGGCCGAUGGCAGAUUAGCCAGUUGGUGGGGUAAAGGCCUACCAAGGCGACGAUCUGUAGCUGGUCUGAGAGGACGACCAGCCAAACUGGAACUGAGACACGGCCCAGACUCCUACGGGAGGCAGCAGUGGGGAAUUUUGGACAAUGGGCGAAAGCCUGAUCCAGCAAUGCCGCGUGUGUGAUGAAGGCCUUCGGGUUGUAAAGCACUUUUGGCGGGAACGAAAAGGACUGUGCCAAUACCACGGUUCGAUGACGGUACCCGCAGAAUAAGCACCGGCUAACUACGUG